AGUGAACGCUGGCGGUAGGCCUAACACAUGCAAGUCGAACGGCAGCACAGUAAGAGCUUGCUCUUACGGGUGGCGAGUGGCGGACGGGUGAGGAAUACAUCGGAAUCUACUUUUUCGUGGGGGAUAACGUAGGGAAACUUACGCUAAUACCGCAUAUGACCUACGGGUGAAAGCAGGGGAUCUUCGGAACUUGCGCGAUUGUAUGAGCCGAUGUCGGAUUAGCUAGUUGGCGGGGUAAAGGCCCACCAAGGCGACGAUCCGUAGCUGGUCUGAGAGGAUGAUCAGCCACACUGGAACUGAGACACGGUCCAGACUCCUACGGGAGGCAGCAGUGGGGAAUAUUGAACAAUGGGCGCAAGCCUGAUCCAGCCAUACCGCGUGAGUGAAGAAGGCCUUCGGGUUGUAAAGCCCUUUUGUUGGGAAAGAAAAGCAGCAGGUUAAUACCCCGCUGUUCUGACGGUACCCAAAGAAUAAGCACCGGCUAACUUCGUG
rnacentral:rRNA from 1 species